AACGAACGCUGGCGGCAGGCCUAACACAUGCAAGUCGAGCGGACCUUUCGGGGUCAGCGGCGGACGGGUGAGUAACGCGUGGGAAUAUGCCCUUCUCUACGGAAUAGUCCUGGGAAACUGGGGGUAAUACCGUAUACGCCCUUUGGGGGAAAGAUUUAUCGGGGAAGGAUUAGCCCGCGUUGGAUUAGGUAGUUGGUGGGGUAAUGGCCUACCAAGCCGACGAUCCAUAGCUGGUUUGAGAGGAUGAUCAGCCACACUGGGACUGAGACACGGCCCAGACUCCUACGGGAGGCAGCAGUGGGGAAUCUUAGACAAUGGGGGCGACCCUGAUCUAGCCAUGCCGCGUGAGUGAUGAAGGCCUUAGGGUUGUAAAGCUCUUUCAGCUGGGAAGAUAAUGACGGUACCAGCAGAAGAAGCCCCGGCUAACUCCGUG
rnacentral:rRNA from 1 species